CACCGGCACCAUACAACACUAGAUAGAAACCCUAAACCCACUCCCAUUCCUUUCAAACCCCAACCAUGGGCGAUCGGAGGGAACGUGACCGUGACCGCGAACGCGACCGCGACACCCGUGACCGGAAACGAGAUAGAGACGACCGAGAUCGUCCCCGCCACCGUCACGCUGAUCACGACCGUGACCUUGACUACCGUGACCGUGACUACAGGAGCAAAAGAUCACACACACCAGACCGUGACCGCCACCGUUCCCGUUCCACCGACAGACACCGUUCCAAAAGAUCCCACCACCGUACUCCAUCCCCGGACCCACAAUCCCGAAAACGGCGGAAACACAACGACGAGGAAAAGCCAACAGCUGCUGUAGUUUCCGAUUUUGUUGAUGGAAUUGUGAAAGAAAAAAAGAAUAAUAAUAAUAAUAAUAAUAAAAAAGAAGUUAUUGAAGAAGAUGUAAAUGAAGGUGAGAUGGAUGCAAAUGAAAUUGAGAUGAUGAAAAUGAUGGGGAUUCCGAUUGGGUUUGAUUCGACGAAAGGGAAACCCGUUGAAGGGAAUGAUGUUAGUGGGAUUAGAGCUGUUACUAAACGUCAGCCUCGUCAGUAUAUGAAUCGUCGUGGCGGUUUUAAUCGUCCCUUGCCUGCCGAAGUUAACCGUUAACAAAAUUUCAGUUAAGCCCAACUAGCUGAGAUCGCUGGAAUAUAUCCAACAUUGGGAAUGAUGUUAGUGGGAUUAGAGCUGUUACUAAACGCCAGCCUCGUCAGUAUAUGAAUUGUCGUGGCGGCUUUAAUCGUUCCUUGCCUGCCGAAGUUAACCGUUAAAUUUCAGUCGUUGGUUUAAAAAAGUAGGCAUGAAGCAAGUGAGGCCAUCACCGGAUCUCAUGUUAUUAGUCUAGGCGUUGCCAUCCCACAACUCCAUAAGCUGCUAUGAGGCUCUUUUCAGAUGCUUUUUCCGUCGAAUGCAAAGUGGGCGGUUGAUUUGCAAAUAAGAGGGAAAAGGAAAAGGGCUAUUUUUUUGGGCCCUGUAAACUUAUAGAAGCUUUAAAUCGUUGUUGGUUUAGCAAUAGAAGCUAGAAAGGCAAAGAGCUAUGUUUAGUGUUCUUUUUAUCUUAUUAUGAGGAGUGAAGUUUUCAUAUUGACGUUAAGCAAAGUCUUCUGAUGUAUAAGCAAUGGCUAGGUACAAAAUGUUAUGCUCGAAUUAUUCUAUAAACAUGUUGUGAAUAAUGGGUCCAACAUAUAUGUGAGGUGCAUGUCUCGUGCCUUGUUUCCUGCUUCGCCUUCUAGACCCUUGGCAUGUCACGCUUUUAAACAAAGAUUGCAACGACCUUUUUAUGUCUUGUAAGUUGGUACACAAAUGUUACAUAUAACUUGUUUGCAUGUUUCAAAAGCAGUAUCUAGUUGUUAAUUAUGUGAUCUUUUGGUGGGUUGUGUUGCUGCUAGUUUUUUGGUGGUAUACUGUCAUUUAGCCUCAGUGUUGGUCAUGGUUUGCUAGUGGGUUAUGAAAUUUUCGUUACUAUUUCUAUGCUUCAGCCUCUUGGGAACUACAUGUCGAAGGAAAAAGCCUCUGGUAGUCCGGUGACUUGCCUCAGUUGCAGGAUAUGCAUACCCACUCAUCCUGUUUCCCUGCUAAUUCACUCUCUUGAUCUUAUCAUAAGCCAUAAACAGGGCAAGUGUUUCUUUGUGGUAUCUAAUUAUCUAUCUAAAGCCAAUAGCACAUCCUAGGAAGAGGGUCCCUUGGGCAAAUAGGUCUAAGGAAUAGCAUGCAUGAGUUCUACUUUCCUUCAUUCCUAACCAGCUGUCCCAAUAAGUUUAGGUCAGUAGGAAGUUGACACCAAUUAUAGUUUUCCAAGGCUUCUUAAUUUCUAAUUGCUUUUACUUUUGUCUUUCAAAGUUUAUUUCUUCUGUUUUUUAUUGUUAGCAGCAUUUUGUUUGUAUUCAAAUUUAAUUUGCUGGAUUCAUUACUUCAACUUUGUCACGCCAAAUUAAGGUGUGAUUUUGUUGGAGUGAUUAUAAGGUUCUCAAUAGAGUAAGAUUUCCACUAAGCAUAUUUUUAGAAAAAUGGUUCUACUAUCUAAAGCACAUUACUUGGAUAUACCCUAAAAACAUAUACUAAACACAUAUAAUAAUAUAAAGUUAUACAUCUUUAGCCAAAAUGAGUAAGUACUGCUAAUAAUGCGUGCCAUUAAUACAUAC